rnacentral:rRNA from 1 species
GAUGAACGCUGGCGGCGUGCUUAACACAUGCAAGUCGAACGGGAAACCUUUUAUUGAAGCUUCGGCAGAUUUAGCUGGUUUCUAGUGGCGGACGGGUGAGUAACGCGUGGGUAACCUGCCUUAUACAGGGGGAUAACAACCAGAAAUGGUUGCUAAUACCGCAUAAGCGCACAGGACCGCAUGGUCCGGUGGGAAAAACUCCGGUGGUAUAAGAUGGACCCGCGUUGGAUUAGCUAGUUGGCAGGGUAACGGCCUACCAAGGCGACGAUCCAUAGCCGGCCUGAGAGGGUGAACGGCCACAUUGGGACUGAGACACGGCCCAGACUCCUACGGGAGGCAGCAGUGGGGAAUAUUGCACAAUGGGGGAAACCCUGAUGCAGCGACGCCGCGUGAAGGAAGAAGUAUCUCGGGAUGUAAACUUCUAUCAGCAGGGAAGAUAGUGACGGUACCUGACUAAGAAGCCCCGGCUAACUACGUG